rnacentral:rRNA from 1 species
GGGAAUACGGUCGCAAGACUGAAACUCAAAGGAAUUGACGGGGGCCCGCACAAGCAGUGGAGCAUGUGGUUUAAUUUGAAGCAACGAGAAGAACCUUACCAGGUCUUGACAUCCUCUGACAACCCUAGAGAUAGGGCUUUCCCUUCGGGGACAGAGUGACAGGUGGUGCAUGGUUGUCGUCAGCUCGUGUCGUGAGAUGUUGGGUUAAGUCCCGCAACGAGCGCAACCCUUGAUCUUAGUUGCCAGCAUUCAGUUGGGCACUCUAAGGUGACUGCCGGUGACAAACCGGAGGAAGGUGGGGAUGACGUCAAAUCAUCAUGCCCCUUAUGACCUGGGCUACACACGUGCUACAAUGGACAGAACAAAGGGCUGCGAGACCGCAAGGUUUAGCCAAUCCCACAAAUCUGUUCUCAGUUCGGAUCGCAGUCUGCAACUCGACUGCGUGAAGCUGGAAUCGCUAGUAAUCGCGGAUCAGCAUGCCGCGGUGAAUACGUUCCCGGGCCUUGUACACACCGCCCGUCACACCACGAGAGUUUCAACACCCGAAGUCGGGAGGUAACCUUAUGAGCCAGCCCC